rnacentral:rRNA from 1 species
UACGUAGGGGGCAAGCGUUGUCCGGAAUCAUUGGGCGUAAAGAGCGUGUAGGCGGCUCGAUAAGUCUGCUGUGAAAGUCCAGGGCUCAACCCUGGAAGGCCGGUGGAAACUGUCGGGCUAGAGUCCGGAAGAGGAGAGUGGAAUUCCUGGUGUAGCGGUGAAAUGCGCAGAUAUCAGGAAGAACACCCGUGGCGAAGGCGGCUCUCUGGGACGGUACUGACGCUGAGACGCGAAAGCGUGGGGAGCGAACAGG